rnacentral:tRNA from 1 species
UCCCUGGUGGUCUAGUGGUUAAGACUUUGUCUUCCAAUGUAGGGCAUGCAGGUUCGAUCCCUUCUUGGGGAA